rnacentral:tRNA from 1 species
AUUUAAGUAGUUUAAUAUAAAACUAUGGCUUGUGGUGCUAUAAAUAUAAUUUUUAUCUUGAAUU